CCUACGGGUGGCAGCAGUGGGGAAUAUUGGGCAAUGGGCGCAAGCCUGACCCAGCAACGCCGCGUGAAGGAAGAAGGAUUUCGGGUUGUAAACUUCUUUUGUCAGGGAAGAGUAGAAGACUGUACCUGACGAAUAAGCCACGGCUAACUACGUGCCAGCCGCCGCGGUAAUACGUAGGUGGAAAGCUUUGUCCGGAUUUACUGGGUGUAAAGGGCGUGUAGCCGGGUUGACAAGUCAGAUGUGAAAUCCUGCGGCUUAACCGCAGAACUGCAUUUGAAACUGUUGAUCUUGAGUACUGGAGAGGCAGACGGAAUUCCUAGUGUAGCGGUGAAAUGCGUAGAUAUUAGGAGGAACACCAGUGGCGAAGGCGGUCUGCUGGACAGCAACUGACGGUGAGGCGCGAAAGCGUGGGGAGCAAACAGGAUUAGAUACCCGAGUAGUC
rnacentral:rRNA from 1 species